GGGAAUAUUGCAAAAUGGGCGAAAGCCCGAUGCAGCAACGCCGCGUGGGCGAUGAAGGCCUUCGGGUCGUAAAGCCCUUUUUGAGGGGAUGAGGAAGGGCAGUACCCUCAGAAUAAGCCUCGGCUAACUACGUGCCAGCAGCCGCGGUAAAACGUAGGAGGCGAGCGUUAUCCGGAUUUACUGGGCGUAAAGCGCGUGCAGGCGGAUUGGAGAGUUGGAUGUGAAAGCUCCCGGCUUAACUGGGAGAGGUCGUUCAAUACUUCCAGUCUUGAGUGCAGUAGAGGGAAGUGGAAUUCCGGGUGUAGUGGUGAAAUGCGUAGAUAUCCGGAGGAACACCAGUGGCGAAAGCGGCUUCCUGGACUGUAACUGACGCUCAGACGCGAAAGCUAGGGUAGCAAACG
rnacentral:rRNA from 1 species